CGCACAAUACAACAUUCGAGGUCAUCCGCGGGAAUUACCUUUAAUCUUAUCAAAACGCAGAAGAAGCACCGUAAACUAAUAACAUCCACUAAUAUUUUCCCCUAGUGUCUGUGUACCUCAAGUUAGAAAAUAUAAGUAUGGGUGUCAAAAAUGGUUUGAAAAAAAAAAAAAAUAUGCAGUCGCAUAAUUUUUCGAAAACAUGUAGUAAAAAAAAGUUUGAUAUUCCCUUAACGCCGCACCCAGUCUCAAUUGUAGUGAUAUCAAUGAAAUCACGUGAUUUACGGUAAAGUUGGUUGGUCGAGCGAAUUGGUAUACGACAAAUCGAAUGGUAUAACCAACCGGAACAGCUAUAUGUGUACAUAAUACAUACAUAUACAUCCAAUAAAUUCAGUUACUUUUAUUAUUUCAUACGAAGCCUGACACGGGUUGCGGUUUUAAAUGUCGAAGAUCACAGUACAAUGUGCGAUUCGUAUCAUUUACGUACAAACAAGCGAAUCGCCAGUGAAAAACACCAUUGACUCAUAGAAUUCUCACUUUGCGUAUACUUAUAAUCUGGCUCACGACGUAGCGACAAGGGAGGGAAGAAGAAAAAGAGAGUUUCCUCACCGUGGUUGUGGGUUGGACGGAAAGGGA